rnacentral:rRNA from 1 species
UUGGCGACCGGCGCACGGGUGCGUAACGCGUAUGUAACCUACCUAUAACAGGGGCAUAACACUGAGAAAUUGGUACUAAUUCCCCAUAAUAUUCGGAGAGGCAUCUCUCCGGGUUGAAAACUCCGGUGGUUAUAGAUGGACAUGCGUUGUAUUAGCUAGUUGGUGAGGUAACGGCUCGCCAAGGCAACGAUACAUAGGGGGACUGAGAGGUUAACCCCCCACACUGGUACUGAGACACGGACCAGACUCCUACGGGAGGCAGCAUG